rnacentral:rRNA from 1 species
CCUACGGGAGGCAGCAGUGAGGAAUAUUGGUCAAUGGGCGAGAGCCUGAACCAGCCAAGUCGCGUGAGGGAAGACGGCCCUAUGGAUUGUAAACUUCUUUUGUCGGGGAGCAAAAUGCGGCACGUGUACCGUUUUGUGUGUACCCUGAGAAAAAGCAUCGGCUAACUCCGUGCCAGCAGCCGCGGUAAUACGGAGGAUGCGAGCGUUAUCCGGAUUUAUUUGGUUUAAAGGGUGCGCAGGUGGCGGUUUAAGUCAGCGGUAAAAUUUUGGGGCUCAACCCCGACAAGCCGUUGAUACUGGCAGGCUGGAGUGGGGGAGAAGUAUGCGGAAUGCGUGGUGUAGCGGUGAAAUGCAUAGAUAUCACGCAGAACUCCGAUUGCGAAGGCAGCAUACCGGAGUGCAACUGACGCUGAUGCACGAAAGUGUGGGUAUCGAACAGGAUUAGAUACCCCGGUAGUC